CGGGUGAGUAACACGUGGAUAACCUACCUAUAAGACUGGGAUAACUUCGGGAAACCGGAGCUAAUACCGGAUAAUAUAUUGAACCGCAUGGUUCAAUAGUGAAAGACGGUUUUGCUGUCACUUAUAGAUGGAUCCGCGCCGCAUUAGCUAGUUGGUAAGGUAACGGCUUACCAAGGCAACGAUGCGUAGCCGACCUGAGAGGGUGAUCGGCCACACUGGAACUGAGACACGGUCCAGACUCCUACGGGAGGCAGCAGUAGGGAAUCUUCCGCAAUGGGCGAAAGCCUGACGGAGCAACGCCGCGUGAGUGAUGAAGGUCUUCGGAUCGUAAAACUCUGUUAUUAGGGAAGAACAAAUGUGUAAGUAACUAUGCACGUCUUGACGGUACCUAAUCAGAAAGCCACGGCUAACUACGUGCCAGCAGCCGCGGUAAUACGUAGGUGGCAAGCGUUAUCCGGAAUUAUUGGGCGUAAAGCGCGCGUAGGCGGUUUUUUAAGUCUGAUGUGAAAGCCCACGGCUCAACCGUGGAGGGUCAUUGGAAACUGGAAAACUUGAGUGCAGAAGAGGAAAGUGGAA
rnacentral:rRNA from 1 species